ACUGUUUGGGCUAGGGGGUCAUCCCGACUUACCAACCCCAUGCAAACUCCGAAUACCGCGGAGUACAAUCAUGGCAGACAGACGGCGGGUGCUAACGUCCGUCGUCAAGAGGGAAACAACCCAGACCGCCAGCUAAGGUCCCAAAUCUACGUUAAGUGGGAAACGAUGUGGGAAGGCUCAGACAGCUAGGAGGUUGGCUUAGAAGCAGCCAUCCUUUAA
rnacentral:rRNA from 1 species